rnacentral:rRNA from 1 species
AAAUUGAAGAGUUUGAUCAUGGCUCAGAUUGAACGCUGGCGGCAGGCCUAACACAUGCAAGUCGAGCGGUAGCACAGAGAGCUUGCUCUCGGGUGACGAGCGGCGGACGGGUGAGUAAUGUCUGGGAAACUGCCUGAUGGAGGGGGAUAACUACUGGAAACGGUAGCUAAUACCGCAUAAUGUCGCAAGACCAAAGUGGGGGACCUUCGGGCCUCAUGCCAUCAGAUGUGCCCAGAUGGGAUUAGCUAGUAGGUGGGGUAACGGCUCACCUAGGCGACGAUCCCUAGCUGGUCUGAGAGGAUGACCAGCCACACUGGAACUGAGACACGGUCCAGACUCCUACGGGAGGCAGCAGUGGGGAAUAUUGCACAAUGGGCGCAAGCCUGAUGCAGCCAUGCCGCGUGUGUGAAGAAGGCCUUCGGGUUGUAAAGCACUUUCAGCGGGGAGGAAGGCGAUAAGGUUAAUAACCUCAUCGAUUGACGUUACCCGCAGAAGAAGCACCGGCUAACUCCGUGCCAGCAGCCGCGGUAAUACGGAGGGUGCAAGCGUUAAUCGGAAUUACUGGGCGUAAAGCGCACGCAGGCGGUCUGUCAAGUCGGAUGUGAAAUCCCCGGGCUCAACCUGGGAACUGCAUUCGAAACUGGCAGGCUAGAGUCUUGUAGAGGGGGUAGAAUUCCAGGUGUAGCGGUGAAAUGCGUAGAGAUCUGGAGGAAUACCGGUGGCGAAGGCGGCCCCCUGGACAAAGACUGACGCUCAGGUGCGAAAGCGUGGGGAGCAAACAGGAUUAGAUACCCUGGUAGUCCACGCCGUAAACGAUGUCGAUUUGGAGGUUGUGCCCUUGAGGCGUGGCUUCCGGAGCUAACGCGUUAAAUCGACCGCCUGGGGAGUACGGCCGCAAGGUUAAAACUCAAAUGAAUUGACGGGGGCCCGCACAAGCGGUGGAGCAUGUGGUUUAAUUCGAUGCAACGCGAAGAACCUUACCUGGUCUUGACAUCCACAGAACUUUCCAGAGAUGGAUUGGUGCCUUCGGGAACUGUGAGACAGGUGCUGCAUGGCUGUCGUCAGCUCGUGUUGUGAAAUGUUGGGUUAAGUCCCGCAACGAGCGCAACCCUUAUCCUUUGUUGCCAGCGGUCCGGCCGGGAACUCAAAGGAGACUGCCAGUGAUAAACUGGAGGAAGGUGGGGAUGACGUCAAGUCAUCAUGGCCCUUACGACCAGGGCUACACACGUGCUACAAUGGCAUAUACAAAGAGAAGCGACCUCGCGAGAGCAAGCGGACCUCAUAAAGUAUGUCGUAGUCCGGAUUGGAGUCUGCAACUCGACUCCAUGAAGUCGGAAUCGCUAGUAAUCGUAGAUCAGAAUGCUACGGUGAAUACGUUCCCGGGCCUUGUACACACCGCCCGUCACACCAUGGGAGUGGGUUGCAAAAGAAGUAGGUAGCUUAACCUUCGGGAGGGCGCUUACCACUUUGUGAUUCAUGACUGGGGUGAAGUCGUAACAAGGUAACCGUAGGGGAACCUGCGGUUGGAUCACCUCCUUA